rnacentral:rRNA from 1 species
AACGAACGCUGGCGGCAGGCCUAACACAUGCAAGUCGAGCGAGGACUUCGGUCCUAGCGGCGGACGGGUGAGUAACGCGUGGGAACGUGCCCUUUGCUUCGGAAUAGCCCUGGGAAACUGGGAGUAAUACCGGAUGAGCCCUUUGGGGGAAAGAUUUAUCGGCGAAGGAUCGGCCCGCGUUGGAUUAGGUAGUUGGUGGGGUAAUGGCCUACCAAGCCGACGAUCCAUAGCUGGUUUGAGAGGAUGAUCAGCCACACUGGGACUGAGACACGGCCCAGAAUCCUACGGGAGGCAGCAGUGGGGAAUCUUAGAAAAUGGGGGAAACCCUGAUCUAGCCAUGCCGCGUGAGCGAUGAAGGCCUUAGGGUUGUAAAGCUCUUUCAGCUGGGAAGAUAAUGACGGUACCAGCAGAAGAAGCCCCGGCUAACUCCGUG